ACGGAAGGCAGCAGUGGGGAAUAUUGCACAAUGGGGGAAACCCUGAUGCAGCGACGCCGCGUGAAGGAUGAAGUAUUUCGGUAUGUAAACUUCUAUCAGCAGGGAAGAAAAUGACGGUACCUGACUAAGAAGCCCCGGCUAACUACGUGCCAGCAGCCGCGGUAAUACGUAGGGGGCAAGCGUUAUCCGGAUUUACUGGGUGUAAAGGGAGCGUAGACGGUGAAGCAAGUCUGAUGUGAAAGGCCGGGGCUCAACCCCGGGACUGCAUUGGAAACUGUUUUACUAGAGUGCCGGAGAGGUAAGCGGAAUUCCUAGUGUAGCGGUGAAAUGCGUAGAUAUUAGGAGGAACACCAGUGGCGAAGGCGGCUUACUGGACGGUAACUGACGUUGAGGCUCGAAAGCGUGGGGAGCAAACAGGAUUAGAUACCCUGGUA
rnacentral:rRNA from 1 species